rnacentral:rRNA from 1 species
AACGAACGCUGGCGGCAGGCUUAACACAUGCAAGUCGAACGGGUGUAGCAAUACAUCAGUGGCGGACGGGUGAGUAACACGUGGGAACCUUCCUAGGGGUACGGAACAACUCAGGGAAACUUGAGCUAAUACCGUAUACGUCCGUGAGGAGAAAGAUUUAUCGCCCUUAGACGGGCCCGCGUCGGAUUAGCUAGUUGGUGGGGUAACGGCCUACCAAGGCGACGAUCCGUAGCUGAUCUUAGAGGAUGAUCAGCCACACUGGGACUGAGACACGGCCCAGACUCCUACGGGAGGCAGCAGUGGGGAAUUUUGGACAAUGGGCGCAAGCCUGAUCCAGCCAUGCCGCGUGAGUGAAGAAGGUCUUCGGAUUGUAAAGCUCUUUUGCCAGGGACGAUAAUGACGGUACCUGGAGAAUAAGCCCCGGCAAACUUCGUGCCAGCCGCCGCAGUAA